UUACUUCAGCAGCACAGAUACUAAAAUUGUAGUAGUACAGAGAAGAUUAGCAUGGUCCCUGUCCAAGGAUGACACGCAAACUUGUGAAGUGUUCCAUUAAAAA
rnacentral:snRNA from 1 species